rnacentral:rRNA from 1 species
AUUGAACGCUGGCGGCAUGCUUUACACAUGCAAGUCGAACGGUAACAGGUCUUCGGAUGCUGACGAGUGGCGAACGGGUGAGUAACACAUCGGAACGUGCCUAGUAGUGGGGGAUAACUACUCGAAAGAGUAGCUAAUACCGCAUGAGAUCUAAGGAUGAAAGCAGGGGACCUUCGGGCCUUGCGCUACUAGAGCGGCUGAUGGCAGAUUAGUUAGUUGGUGGGAUAAAAGCUUACCAAGCCGACGAUCUGCAGCUGGUCUGAGAGGACGACCAGCCACACUGGGACUGAGACACGGCCCAGACUCCUACGGGAGGCAGCAGUGGGGAAUUUUGGACAAUGGGCGAAAGCCUGAUCCAGCAAUGCCGCGUGUAGGAUGAAGGCCCUCGGGUUGUAAACUACUUUUGUACGGAACGAAAAGACUCUCUCUAAUACAGGGGGUUUAUGACGGUACCGCAAGAAUAAGCACCGGCUAACUACGUGCCAGCCGCCGCCGUAACAC